UGGGGAAUAUUGCACAAUGGGCGCAAGCCUGAUGCAGCCAUGCCGCGUGUGUGAAGAAGGCCUUCGGGUUGUAAAGCACUUUCAGCGGGGAGGAAGGCGGUGAGGUUAAUAACCUCAUCGAUUGACGUUACCCGCAGAAGAAGCACCGGCUAACUCCGUGCCAGCAGCCGCGGUAAUACGGAGGGUGCAAGCGUUAAUCGGAAUUACUGGGCGUAAAGCGCACGCAGGCGGUCUGUCAAGUCGGAUGUGAAAUCCCCGGGCUCAACCUGGGAACUGCAUUCGAAACUGGCAGGCUAGAGUCUUGCAGAGGGGGGUAGAAUUCCAGGUGUAGCGGUGAAAUGCGUAGAGAUCUGGAGGAAUACCGGUGGCGAAGGCGGCCCCCUGGACAAAGACUGACGCUCAGGUGCGAAAGCGUGGGGAGCAAACAGG
rnacentral:rRNA from 1 species